UACGUAGGGUGCAAGCGUUGUCCGGAAUUAUUGGGCGUAAAGAGCUCGUAGGCGGUCUGUCGCGUCGGCUGUGAAAACCCGGGGCUCAACCCCGGGCCUGCAGUCGAUACGGGCAGACUAGAGUGCGGUAGGGGGACUGGAAUUCCUGGUGUAGCGGUGAAAUGCGUAGAUAUCGAGAGGAACACCUGGCGGCGAAGGCGGGUUGCUGGGCCGACACUGACGCUGAUGCGCGAAAGCCAGGGGAGCGAACGGG
rnacentral:rRNA from 1 species